CAAUACUGAAGUUUUGUGUUAGUUUACUUUGUUAGAUAAAACAAGUUGUCAAUCAGCAAUUUAGAUUUUACUUUAGAAUCUACCUAAUUUGAUCAACUUCAGAAGUCUUAGAAAACUGAUUGCCUGUUUUUUGUUUCAUAAUGAAAUUGCGCCGCAUGAACUAGUGGAGGCAAAGAGAAAACUGUCCUCCCACCGCCAGAGCAUGCCUGGACCCAAGUACAGCUGAUCUCACAUCAGUGAACCGCAAAAUCGCUGCCAUAAUUGGGGAGGUCAGCGUGUGUAGGAUUAUGUCGGAAAAGGAGGGAGACACUGAGGUGACUGAGACCACAGAGGAGCAAGUCCUUCCGGACUCUGAAGCGAUCGGUGAACAGCAGGUUCAGGUUGAGGGGUCCUUGGAUGCAGAUGCACAGUGUCCGACUCAAAGCAAUGCACCUUCUGCGUCUGGCACAUCCAAAAGUGGUCGGGUGCUCACUGACGCCAUCCUGCAGUUACAGCGAGACAAAAUAAACGUUGUCAACAGUUUAAUGCAGUUAA